rnacentral:lncRNA from 1 species
AUUUAAUCAUUCGUGCCUGUGUAAUGAGGCUUCCAUGAAAACCCAAAAGGACUGGUGCCCCUUCCCACAGACCUCGCCCUAUGCGUCUCUUCCAUCUGCUGUUCCUGAGUUAUAUUCGUUCAUAAUAAACCUGUGAUCUGGAAGACUCAAGUGGUCUCUGAAUUUUUCCUGGAAAACAAAAGUGGCCUUCAGAGGUCAAGCGGAGAGAAGUGACCGGAAUUUGCACUGCAUGAGCAUCGCUCCAUUCACAGGAAGAUAAUCAGUGGCUAUUUGGGGUUACCUGUCACGGGGGGACGUUUGCCAGAAGGAUCGGGGUCCCUGAGAGCCUUUUCUUUUGUGGCUGAAGUUAAAAAACAGCUGGAGGACGAGAAAUUUGUCUUAAAUGCUGGUUUUCAUCCCUGUGUCUUGCUGACUUCUUCCAGUCCUUUAGGAAUUAGCCUUCACAAGAUGAAAAGCGAGUGGGGCUUUGAAGAGGCCCCUGAUGGUGCC